UCUCUUUGACUGUUUUUGAUUUGAAUAUGGUUCAUAUCACUUUAAAACAUGAUUUUAGUAACUAAUACUCAUAGGGGAAGCGAGAAAACUGAUGUUAAGCCUUGCGAGGUUUUGAUUGGCUUUUCGGGCAAUGAAUGUCUACCGGGACAUCGCAACAGUUGUCACAAGCUCGAUGGGAGUUUCGAGUCGUGACAUUUUAUGAUUUACUUAAGCAUCUAAGCUCACCUAAGGAACACUUGAAAACUCUACGGAUAACGCUGAAAAAAAGUUGUGAUUAGAGCUAGAAAUCAACUCUCCAAUUAGGUCCUUGCCCCGGUCACAAUCUGUCCAGGAAAUGGGAUGUGACAAGAAGUAAAGAGAAAGAGCAUUGCUUUUAAGGCAGUUAAGGAAGAUGAUGAAAAGAAUCUUUAAUGUGAUUAUGAAGAUGGAGAUGAUGAAAAGAUAGCACUAUUGACAAGAAGGUUUAAUAGAUUUUGAAGUAACAAACAAGAAAACCAAAGGCUUUUUAGAAAAGAAGAACCAAGAAAAGAUAUAAAAAAAGACAUGUCAAAGGAUGACAUGAAAAUAAUCAUAUCAUUUGCUAUGAGUGCCAGAAAUCUGGUCAUACUAGUUAUGAAUGUUCAAAUGUUGAGAAAAACCAUCUAAAGUACUCCAAAAGAAAAGCCAUGGUUGCAACAUGGAGUGACAGUGACGAGUCAGAAAACGAAAAGAGGCAGACAACCUCUAUUAUAUGGUAGUUGAUGAUCCUAUGGACGAAGAUAUUCUAGAUUUUGAUAUGCAAAUGGAUAACUCAUAAUAUCUUGAUACUGAAUGUUUGAGUCACACAAUAAUCAUCACAGAAGAAACUGUGGAUGAGGAAGGAAAAUGUGGUAAUGUUGUUUCUGAAAAUGACUACCAUAAAAACAUUUUUGAAGAGCACUUUUAAAUCAAUCAAUCAAACACAAAACACCAAAUUUAAAGCUAAGAAUUAGCCAUAAAAUCAUUGAAAAAAGUCUCACUGGAAGAUGAGAAGAAAUUGAAGGAUUCAAGAAGACUUGGAGAUCGAGAUUACAUUUUUGUUAAUCUUUUAUUUUCUUUGUUUGAUUUUAAUGUUUAAACUUUAUUUGAUGAUGACGUGUGAUAUU